rnacentral:tRNA from 1 species
CAGAGCGUAGCUGAGACAGAAAAGCAUCUCUCUUACACUGAGAAGGCCCCCGUGCAAAUCGGGUCGCUCUGA